GAAGCAAUGGGGCUGGGGAGUGACACCCUGGCUGGAGGGCAGAAGGAAAGCAGGCAUGUGUCCCACACAAGUCCCACCCCUGGGGUGGCAGUCGGGGGGAGCUCACUUGGCUCCCCAGGCCCAGCAGCCGAGCAGAGGAGCCCCGUGCACACAGCAUCCCCUCACCUGGAGAUCUGAGUGGGGAUUCAGUGCUCUGUGGAGGAGAUUCCUGAAUCCCUUCUGUCCUUGGCAGCAGAGGCCUGGGGGAAGUGCCUUGUGCCAGUUUGUGCCUCCGAGAGCUGAGCACAGCUGAGAACCCGGGCAGGGCAGCCGAGCUCUGCCAGGCCCCCAGCAGCCUGUGAGUGCCAAAAAGCAGCGCUGUGAACAUCUGCCAGCCCAGGGGUGGUGGAUCUGGGACUUGGAUAUGCCUGUAUGUACAAACUCGAGCGCUGUGUUCCAGCAGGAACGAAGACAACAAUAACCACAUCACCCUCUCCUGGAUGGGAGAGCUCUGGCAGCUCCCUGUGCUGCCCAGGAACUAAUUCUGCACGCUGGGAAGAGAUUUCAGUCCUGCUUACCACCCUGGCCAGGCUGAAAGGCGGACAAGGAUUGUUCUUCCUUACGGGUUUCUGGCCCUCAGCUGGGUGCAGGUCCCUGCUCUGCAGGAAGCAGAAUCUCAGUUGGUUUUCAGGACCCACUGAUCACAUCUGGCACAUCUGGCACUGCCAAAGGCAGUUUGUGUCACCCCUGCUCUGCCCUGCUUCGAUAAAUGGUGUGCACAGCUCUCAUUGACAAGAAACAAGGGUCUGAGGGCAGGGAGCUCUCUGUGACAUGGGCACCCUCCCUCCAAAACUGCUCCUCACUGCAGCUACAGCAGCUCUGCCAGAGGGAGCUGGGGUUUAUCUGGAGCUGACAUGUGAGAAGCAGCUCAGAAAAGCUUUUUUGUUUGCCUUAAAUACAAACAUUGAAAUGGAUAUUUCUGUAUCCAUACUCAGAUAGGAGCUGCCUGAGCACCUUCCCUCCAGGCUGCCAGUGAAUCCUUUAUACCCCCCUCAAAGGUCCCAGCACUCCCAGGCUCAUUUGCUGCUUCUUCUUCUUCCUUUUUCUUUUUGGCUGAUGUGCUGUGUCAAAGGGAAUGAUGCAAACAGCUCCUAAGAGCAAAUCCCAGAGUCCAGCUGGAACUGGGGCUGCCUUGGGCUGGCACCAAGCACUGGGGAUGAUGUCAAAGCAGGGUGGGAAUGUGCUCUGCUUUAUUGCCUCAACAAGGGAGAUCAGGCAGGAGGAAACUCCUGGGAGAGCCCAGUGGGGACGAGAAGGAGAGAUGUGAAUGCAUCCAGAGGAUGGUUGGCUCUUUGUUCUGGAUCUGAGUUUGUUCCCAUGCUGAAUAAAUGGUUUCAUGAAUGUGA